rnacentral:tRNA from 1 species
GAAGAGUAUCGUCUCCGGUGAGGCGCCCAGUCUUCAAAACUGGAGGAGGAACGCAGAUGCGUUCCUUUGGGUUCGACUCCUAACUCU